UGGGGAAUAUUGCACAAUGGGCGCAAGCCUGAUGCAGCAACGCCGCGUGAACGAUGAAGGUCUUCGGAUCGUAAAGUUCUGUUGCAGGGGAAGAUAAUGACGGUACCCUGUGAGGAAGCCCCGGCUAACUACGUGCCAGCAGCCGCGGUAAUACGUAGGGGGCUAGCGUUAUCCGGAUUUACUGGGCGUAAAGGGUGCGUAGGUGGUCCUUCAAGUCGGUGGUUAAAGGCUACGGCUCAACCGUAGUAAGCCGCCGAAACUGGAGGACUUGAGUGCAGGAGAGGAAAGUGGAAUUCCCAGUGUAGCGGUGAAAUGCGUAGAUAUUGGGAGGAACACCAGUAGCGAAAGCGGCUUUUUGGCCUGCAACUGACACUGAGGCGCGAAAGCGUGGGGAGCAAACAGG
rnacentral:rRNA from 1 species